GGCUUCAUAGUGUAGUGGUUAGCACUUCUACUUUACACGCAGAAGGUCCUGGGUUCGCACCCCAGGUGGAGCCA
rnacentral:tRNA from 1 species